UACAGAGGGUGCAAGCGUUAAUCGGAAUUACUGGGCGUAAAGCGUGCGUAGACGGUUAUGUAAGUCGGGUGUGAAAGCCCCGGGCUCAACCUGGGAACUGCAUUUGUGACUGCAUCGCUGGAGUGCGGCAGAGGGGGAUGGAAUUCCGCGUGUAGCAGUGAAAUGCGUAGAUAUGCGGAGGAACACCGAUGGCGAAGGCAAUCCCCUGGGCCUGCACUGACGCUCAUGCACGAAAGCGUGGGGAGCAAACAGG
rnacentral:rRNA from 1 species